CCUCCUUUAGAGUUUGAUCCUGGCUCAGAUUGAACGCUGGCGGCAGGCCUAACACAUGCAAGUCGAGCGGAAACGAGUUAACUGAACCUUCGGGGGACGUUAACGGCGUCGAGCGGCGGACGGGUGAGUAAUGCCUAGGAAAUUGCCCUGAUGUGGGGGAUAACCAUUGGAAACGAUGGCUAAUACCGCAUGAUGCCUACGGGCCAAAGAGGGGGACCUUCGGGCCUCUCGCGUCAGGAUAUGCCUAGGUGGGAUUAGCUAGUUGGUGAGGUAAGGGCUCACCAAGGCGACGAUCCCUAGCUGGUCUGAGAGGAUGAUCAGCCACACUGGAACUGAGACACGGUCCAGACUCCUACGGGAGGCAGCAGUGGGGAAUAUUGCACAAUGGGCGCAAGCCUGAUGCAGCCAUGCCGCGUGUGUGAAGAAGGCCUUCGGGUUGUAAAGCACUUUCAGUCGUGAGGAAGGU
rnacentral:rRNA from 1 species